CUCAGGGUGGGUACUGGAUGCUGUUCAAGGUUCUGCCAUGAUCCCUGUGAUCAAAAAAUUUACGUUUGCAUUUACAUGUGCGGACCAGCAACAGAUACUGGAGCUGAUUUCAACUUCCACUAUGAUCAAGGUUACUGUACUGUCUCUGUCAGGAAAGAGACAAAGAAUGGAUGCCCGUGAGCUGAUUUAAGCAUCUUCCAUGGACAGGAGCCCUAUGGUUGCAUCUGUGUUAGGAGGAUGGAGAACAAUAAUGGGAGCACUUCAGCUGGUUGAAGGAUUCUUCUAUGGUCCUGAGAGCUCUGGUUGCAUUCACGUGUUAGGACUGUGGAGACCAUUACUUUUCAGAAUAGAAGCUCAGAGUGAUUUCAGCCUCUAUUGUGAUCAAGGUUAUCAUUUUCAGGUUGGUAUAGGACAGAGACCCAGGUGAGUAAUGACCAGUGUUCCUCUCUUGGUUUGGGUAAUUUACUUAAGUGUUUUCAUUGUAUUCUAAAAAGUAAUAAAUCUAAUCAACAGGUUAAUAAUGGCCCAUUGAUAAAUAUGACCUGAAACCUUAUACUGAUUAAUUGAUAUUGUAGGGACUUCCCUGGUGGCGCAGUGGUUGGGAGUCCGCCUGUCAAUGCAGGGGACACGGGUUCCAGCCCUUGUCCGGGAAGAUCCUACAUGCUGCAGAGCAACUAAGCCCGUGUGCCACAACUACUGAGCUGCGCUCAAGAGCCCACGAGCCACAAGUACUGAGCCUGUGUGCCUACAGCCUGUGCUCCGCAACAAGAGAAGCCACCACAAUGAGAAGCCCGCACACCACAACGAAGAGUAGCCCCUACUUGUCACAACUAGAGAAAGCCUGAGCGCAGCAACAAAGACCCAACGCAGCCAAAAAUAAAUAAAUAAAUUUAUUUUAAAAAAUUGAUAUUGUAUAACAUUGAUAUUCAUUAAUGAAAGAGUUGUAAGCUAUUUUGGUAAUGAUUAGAGAGAAGUUAGGGAUAUUCGAGUGUCUUGUUCUUUGGCUUUUGUUAAUCAUAUAUUUAUUUUAUUACUAUCAAUGAAGUAAUGAUUUAAUUGAUACAAAUAUAUAAAUGAAUGGACUAAAAUUGGGCUUAAAUGAACCAAUGAUGAGGAUUGGUAGAGGUUGAGGCACAGACAAUGAAUAAUAAGUAUCUGGACCCCUGAGGUCCAAGACAAUACAUACUCUAUUUUCAUGUUUAUUUGAUCCUAUGGACAGAUGUUAGGAAUGUAUAAUUUUCAAGUUCUUCGAUUAAGUUUUAAAAUUAUUACUAGAUCAAUGAGAGCACUAUUAAAGUUACAUAAAUAAUAGAUUACAAAGAAAAGAUAAAUUAUGUUCUCAUUAUGAACAUCUAUGAUGAGACAAGAAAUAUUAAUAAAAAUUUCCAGCACUGAUGAUCAUUAUGAAAUAGAUGGAUCAAGGGUGUCAUCACUUUUUCCAGAUACCAGAUAGACUUGAACAAUUAGGAGUCAAUUUUAUUGUUCUGAGUCAGUCUUAAGUAUGAGCUUGUUCUUUCUGUUAAGAGAAAACAAUUUCUACAUUAAGAAAAAGUUAUAAAUUCCUAAAUGACUGUAAGGUAGAUAGCUAGUGGGAAGCAGCCUCAUAGCACAGGGAGAUCAGCUCGGUGCUUUGUGACCGCCU